rnacentral:rRNA from 1 species
GACGAACGCUGGCGGCGUGCUUAACACAUGCAAGUCGAACGGAAAGGCCCUGCUUUUGUGGGGUGCUCGAGUGGCGAACGGGUGAGUAACACGUGAGUAACCUGCCCUUGACUUUGGGAUAACUUCAGGAAACUGGGGCUAAUACCGGAUAGGAGCUCCUGCUGCAUGGUGGGGGUUGGAAAGUUUCGGCGGUUGGGGAUGGACUCGCGGCUUAUCAGCUUGUUGGUGGGGUAGUGGCUUACCAAGGCUUUGACGGGUAGCCGGCCUGAGAGGGUGACCGGCCACAUUGGGCCUGAGAUACGGACCAGACUGCUACGGGAGGCAGCAGUGGGGAAUAUUGCACAAUGGGCGGAAGCCUGAUGCAGCAACGCCGCGUGCGGGAUGACGGCCUUCGGGUUGUAAACCGCUUUCGCCUGUGACGAAGCGUGAGUGACGGUAAUGGGUAAAGAAGCACCGGCUAACUACGUG